GAGCAAACAGCAGCAGCUGAGCACUGCAGGAGCAGCACUGGGAAGUUCUUUGCAUCCCAACCAGUUGCCUGGGCAGUCACACAGUCAGGCAAGGCCCACGUGUGGAGAAAAGGAACCACCUCCAUGGAAGGGUCAGAGGAACAAAGGAAGGAGUGAAUGGAGGUCAGCUGGCACCAGGGUAUGCUCGGAUCCAUCGUGCCUUAGGAACGGCUCCCAGCCCACUUCUGGCAUUUAUCUCACAGAACAGCCACGUUAAAAAUAAACACAGCUUGCACCAGCAUCCCCAGCCACUGCACGGGGCCCUGCCAGGAGAACACAGCAAGCUGCAGCCAGCAGAGUGAGCUUGGAAAGGAGAAAGGGCUUGGGGACUUCAUUUUGUCACCAAACAUACUGCGAUGUAAUAUUCAGAGCAUUUGGAUUUGAUAUUUCUGCCUCGUGUUGGUAUAUUCCCUACAAGAGACAGCAGAACGCAGGGGGC
rnacentral:lncRNA from 1 species